ACGUUUCCGUUUCCUGUACGGUUGCUAAGUAACACUUCCUGUGCGUUGAAUGUGUAGAAAAGUAAAUAACGCCUAAACAUGGUGCACUAAUUGGGAUUAUUGGUAAAUCGCAAAUCGUUUUUCGCGUGAAAAUAGUCUUACCUUUGAGAACUGUAGAUUUAGCGGCAAAAUCAUGACACUGACAACGAUUAAAGACGGCGAAUACACCGCCACUGUCUACAAAAUGAUCAAAGAUGGGCGGUAUGGAGAGGCUAUCCACAUCCUCAGCAAUGAACUGCAGAAACAGAUGAAGUCACGGGCAGCCCUGUCUCUGCUAGGCUACUGCUACUACCACAUGCAGGACUUCACCAACGCAGCAGAGUGCUAUGAGCAGCUGACUCAGCUACACCCCGAGGUGGAGGAGUACAGGCUGUAUUACGCCCAGUCUCUGUACGGGGCCUGUGCCUACCCCGAGGCCAUGAAGGCUACCUUUCUAUUGGACAACCCUACCAGCCACACCAAGAUGAUCAAACUGCAGGCAUCCAUCAAAUACGGAGAAGAGGAGUACUCUGGAGCGAAGACACUGGUAGAGCAGCUUCCCCAGGACGACCCAGACUAUGACGUGGACAUGGGCUGUCUACUCUACAAGGAGGGGGAGUAUGAGGAGGCUUGCAAGAAGUUCAUGUCUGCCAUGCAGGUGCUGGGCUACCAACCAGAACUGUCCUACAACAUAGGUCUGUGCUACUACAGUAUGAAACAGUAUGGUCAGGCCCUCAAGUUCAUCGGAGAGAUCAUCGAGAGAGGGAUCAGGGAACAUCCAGAGCUGAGCGUUGGUAUGACGACAGAGGGCAUUGACGUGAGGAGUGUUGGGAACACCCUGAUCCUACAUGAGACCGCCCUCAUAGAAGGCUUCAACCUCAAGGCUGCUAUAGAAUACCAGCUGAAAAACUGCGAUGCAGCUCAGGAGGCCUUGACUGACAUGCCUCCCAGAUCAGAGGAGGAGCUGGAUCCAGUGACGCUCCACAACCAGGCCCUGAUGAACAUGGAUAAGAAGCCAUCGGAGGGUUUUGAGAAACUGGCCUUCCUCCUGCAGCAGAUCCCCUUCCCCCCGGUCACCUUCGGAAACCUGCUGCUACUAUACUGCAAAUAUGAGUAUUUUGAUCUGGCUGCUGAUGUGAUGGCAGAGAAUGCUCACCUCACCUACAAGUUCCUCACCCCGUAUCUGUAUGAGUUUCUGGACGCCAUGUUGACCUGCCAGACAGCUCCAGAAGAGGCCUUCAGGAAGUUUGAUGAGAUGAACGCCAAGUUGACAGAUCAACUACGCAAGCUGACCAAACAGAUACAGGAAGCCAGACUAGCCCGGGACAACGAAGCCUUGAAGAAAACCCUCCAGGACUACGAUGACAUGGUGGAGAAGUACAUCCCAGUUCUGAUGGCCCAGGCUAAGAUCUACUGGAACAGGGAGAACUACCAGAUGGUUGAGAAGAUCUUCCGUAAGUCGGUGGAGUUCUGCAACGAACACGACACCUGGAAGCUCAACGUGGCUCACGUUCUCUUCAUGCAGGAGAACAAGUACAAGGAAGCCAUCGGCUUUUACGAACCCAUCGUUAAAAAACACUACGACAACAUCCUGAAUGUCAGUGCUGUUGUGCUGGCUAACCUGUGUGUCUCCUAUAUCAUGACCAGCCAGAACGAAGAGGCUGAAGAACUGAUGAGGAAGAUCGAGAAGGAGGAAGAGCAGAUCUCCUACGACGACCCCGAUAAGAAAGUCUUCCACCUCUGUAUAGUCAACCUGGUGAUAGGGACCCUGUACUGUGCCAAGGGGAACUACGACUUCGGCAUCACCCGUGUCAUCAAGAGUCUGGAACCGUACAACAAGAAGGGUUUCGUAUCCUUCUCUCGUGGUUGUCGUCCUGUGUGUGUAGCUGGGAACAGACACCUGGUUCUAUGCUAAGCGCUGUUUCCUGUCUCUGCUGGAGAACACGGCCAAACACAUGAUCAUGAUCAGGGACUCAGUUGUUCAGGAGUGUAUUCAGUUCCUGGAGCACUGUGAAGUGUACGGUAAGACAGAGCCAGCCAUGAUAGAACAGCCACUGGAGGAGGACAGGAUGCACAUCGGAAAGAACACCGUCACCUACGAGUCUCGCCUCCUCAAAGCUCUCUUCUAUGAGGUCAUCGGAUGGAACCAGUGAUGUCAUACUAGAACGGAACAGAGCCUGUGAUGUCAUCGAACGGAACCCGGUGAUGUCAUCGGACAGAACCAGUAGUUUACACUAAAGCCUUUUUAAAACCUGUUCUACACCCCAAACAGUUCAACUCUAUCGACCUGGACCACAUCACAUGAGCUGUUAUAGUACAUUAUAUAUUUGGCUUGUUGUUAUUUUCUGCAUCGUCUGAAAGUUACAAGCUGUUGUUCUGACUUCUGUUAAAAAUAUUCUGGACUCUC